rnacentral:rRNA from 1 species
AACGAACGCUGGCGGCAGGCCUAACACAUGCAAGUCGAACGCCCUAGCAAUAGGGAGUGGCAGACGGGUGAGUAACGCGUGGGAACCUUCCCAGUGGUACGGAAUAACUCAGGGAAACCUGAGCUAAUACCGUAUAAGCCCCUCGGGGGAAAGAUUUAUCGCCAUUGGAUGGGCCCGCGUCGGAUUAGCUAGUUGGUGGGGUAAUGGCCCACCAAGGCGACGAUCCGUAGCUGGUCUGAGAGGAUGAUCAGCCACACUGGGACUGAGACACGGCCCAGACUCCUACGGGAGGCAGCAGUGGGGAAUAUUGGACAAUGGGCGCAAGCCUGAUCCAGCCAUGCCGCGUGAGUGACGAAGGCCUUAGGGUUGUAAAGCUCUUUUGCCGGGGACGAUAAUGACGGUACCCGGAGAAUAAGUCCCGGCUAACUUCGUGCCAGCCGCCGCCGUAACAC